UACGUAUGGAGCAAGCGUUAUCCGGAUUUACUGGGCGUAAAGGGAGCGUAGGCGGCCUGCCAAGUCUGAUGUGAAAUACCGGGGCUCAACCCCGGGGCUGCAUUGGAAACUGGCAGGCUGGAGUGCCGGAGAGGCAGGCGGAAUUCCUAGUGUAGCGGUGAAAUGCUUAGAUAUUGCGCAGAACUCCGAUUGCGAAGGCAGCCUACCGGCUUCUGUCUGACGCUGAGGCACGAAAGCGUGGGUAUCGAACAGG
rnacentral:rRNA from 1 species